rnacentral:rRNA from 1 species
UAAGGAAUAUUGGUCAAUGGACGCAAGUCUGAACCAGCCAUGCCGCGUGGAGGAUGAAGGUCCUCUGGAUUGUAAACUUCUUUUAUCUGGGACGAAACACUUCUUUUCUAAGAGGCCUGACGGUACCAGAUGAAUAAGCACCGGCUAACUCCGUGCCAGCAGCCGCGGUAAUACGGAGGGUGCAAGCGUUAUCCGGAUUCACUGGGUUUAAAGGGUGCGUAGGUGGGUAUGUAAGUCAGUGGUGAAAUCCCCGAGCUUAACUUGGGAACUGCCAUUGAUACUAUAUAUCUUGAAUACCGUAGAGGUAAGCGGAAUAUGUCAUGUAGCGGUGAAAUGCUUAGAUAUGACAUGGAACACCAAUUGCGAAGGCAGCUUACUAUGCGGUGUUUGACACUGAGGCACGAAAGCGUGGGUAGCAAACA